rnacentral:rRNA from 1 species
UACGGAGGGUGCAAGCGUUAUCCGGAUUCACUGGGUUUAAAGGGUGCGUAGGUGGGCAGGUAAGUCAGCGGUGAAAUCUCCGGGCUUAACCCGGAAACUGCCAUUGAUACUAUCUGUCUUGAAUACCGUGGAGGUGAGCGGAAUAUGUCAUGUAGCGGUGAAAUGCUUAGAUAUGACAUAGAACACCAAUUGCGAAGGCAGCUCACUACACGAAUAUUGACACUGAGGCACGAAAGCGUGGGGAGCAAACAGG